UACGUAGGGGGCAAGCGUUGCCCGGAAUCAUUGGGCGUAAAGCGCGUGUAGGCGGCUCGAUAAGUCUGCUGUGAAAGUUCAGGGCUCAACCCUGAAAUGCCGGUGGAAACUGUCGAGCUAGAGUCCGGAAGAGGCGAGUGGAAUUCCUGGUGUAGCGGUGAAAUGCGCAGAUAUCGGGAAGAACACCCGUGGCGAAGGCGGCUCUCUGGGACGGUACUGACGCUGAGACGCGAAAGCGUGGGGAGCGAACAGG
rnacentral:rRNA from 1 species